CCCUUAGAUGUUCUGGGCCGCACGCGCGCUACACUGACGAAUGCAACGAGCUUAUAACCUUGGCCGAAAGGUCUGGGUAAUCUCCAAAUUUCGUCGUGAUGGGGAUAGAUUAUUGCAAUUAUUAAUCUUCAACGAGGAAUGCCUAGUAAGCGCAAGUCAUCAGCUUGCGUUGAUUACGUCCCUGCCCUUUGUACACACCGCCCGUCGCUCCUACCGAUUGAAUGGUCCGGUGAAAUCUCGGGACGGCGGCUCGGUCGCUUGCGUCCGACUGCUGAAACUUGAUUAAACCAUAUCAUUUAGAGGAAGGUGAAGUCGUANCA
rnacentral:rRNA from 1 species